UGAGGGGAGGCACGGCCGGCGGCGCUCCGCCCCGUGCGGUGCGGGCGGGGGCGGGGGCGCGGGCGGCACCGGGGCCCCCCACAGGGCCCUGUCCCUCCGCUGCGGCGGGCCGGGGGGCUGCCGGGGUGCGGCCGGCUGCCGGACACCCCCCUCCGGCGCGGCGCGGCGGGCCCCUGCCUGGCAGGCCGGGGCGGGAGGUGAGGGGGGUGGUGAUCCCGCGCGCGAAGAGGUGCGCUGCGGUGCCGGGGGUCGCCCCUUUGCCGUGAGGAGAGCGCGGUGCAGGCCGCGGGGCCGCGUCCCCCGGUCCCCGGCACGGGCUGGGCGAGCGGGUCGUACUCUGAGGGGCGUCGUUCCCCCUUUCGGGCCGGGGGGCUGGACCCCGGCUGCCGUCGGUGCCGCGGCGCGCAGCGGGCGCGGGCGGCCGCCUCGGUGUAGAAGGCCCCGGUUCUCCUCAGCUCCGUCCUUCCUCGCCCCUCGAAUGUUUCUGUGAGCUUGGUGAAUGGACGGCUGCCAUGGAGACGAGAAGCAUAGCCCGAAAUAGCUCCUACGGCAGAAGGGGAAAGGGGAGCGUGGCCGGUACCAAAGGGGGGGAGGAAAAAAGCAAUUUUAGCCGCUGACGUACGAGACCACCGGGAGAGAGGGGAGACCACCGGGAGAGAGGGGUGCCAGGCGGGAGGCGUGGGGGCUGCAGCCAUUGACGUGCUAAGGCAGACUGGUGCCCUGUGAGGCGGGAAGUGUGUGGGCCAGGGUAGGAAACACAUCCCUCUUCUCCCCUUUAGGGCAUUUUAUUCUUUGAAAAGUCCCCCAGCCAGUUACAAAUGAAUGCAAAAUACAGAGCUUUUGGGGGUUUUGUGGGUUUUUUUUUGUUUUGGUUUGGUGUUUUUUUUAUUAAACAGUAAACCAAAGGAAAUGGGGGACAAAGGCAUUGCACACAGUAUGUCUUGGAAAAUCAAAAAGUCGUGCUGCAGGGCUGGUGAUGCACUUCCUCAGUACCGUAUAAUGUGAACGUGAGAGGCAGAAACAGAAAAGCAAGCAGCUCUUCAGUUAAGUAGAAGAUGGCGGUGCUGGGCUUCCUGGCACUCAGGACGUGGAGGUAUGGAAAGGUUCUAGCCACAGGCUGAGGAUCUGGGCUGAGCUUUCAGCUGAACACUGUGAAGCAUGGGUUAGGUUGGGAGAUCCUCCUGCUUUGUAAUUUUUUCAAGGACUGUUUGUAUGGGAAAAGUAACAGGAGCGCUUACCUGUUCAGAGCUGUUACUUAAGUCAUUUUUUCUUUGAUGUGCAGGGGAGAUUGACACAAUGCAUGGACACAUGUAUGUCUGUUGGCUGGUUGUUCCUUACCUGAAAGAAAAGCAUGAAGGCAGAUGGUGGCAAGAGUGACUUGCCAGUUAGUGUGCCCUUAGCAUGCAGGCAUUUCCUUGGGUAACAUCCUGUGCCCAACUUGGGUGGCACAUGUCUUCAGCUGGCUCAGCUUUCAAGGUCUCUUGCUUUCUUGGUUUUCGCUCCUGUCAUCUUGCAUAUGGUUUAUUUUGGCUUCUUUCCUAUCAUCUUCUCACACCAUCUUCCUGUCUCCUCCCUUCUCAGGAAGCUGUUCACUGUUACUCUAGGUUUUUCUCUACUGUCAUUCUGCAUCUGAGGAACCUGCUGAUCCUAGCAGGCCUUCCUUCUACUGUACUUAACUCUCUGUCUCUCUCCCCCCCCCCCCCUACAAGGGAAAUAUUUCCACUUCCUGUAUAAUGGAAUAACAUUAUCAGUGGGUAAUUAUCCAUCUUGUAAAUAUCACAGUGUUCACCAGAGAAAAAAGGCCAUACGCUUUCUAGGAGAUACUUCUCAACCAUCCAGCAGCAUUUAUUAAUUUAUACUCCUCUCAGUAAACUGCCCCAUAAUUAUUCACAGAGCAUUUACAUCUUAAGUCUUCGCUUAAAACUGUAUUUGAAAAGGGAACAUUAGCAGAAACGGUGCUGAUAACUUUUUUCAUCAUGCUAAAAUGCCUAUUUCUGGAACAGCUGGCAUUCUGUACUUUUGUGUUCUAGGCUAUGUAGUCACCCUUAAAAUGAAUUCUGACGAUGAAAUAAAAUAGGGAACACAAGCUAGGGCUUGGCUAAGAAUAGUUUGUUAUGUAAUUAGUACAAUGAUAAGAAUAAAUCAAAACCUGUAUUCUAUCAAGCGUGGUAGGCAUAGAGAUUCUUCUCAUGUUUUCAACCUGCUGGUUUCAACUGCUUAUAUCUUUCAGAAUUCAGAUUUUGCAUUUGUUUGAAAGCAUCUGUUUUAUUUCUAGAAAGUCUGAUGGUGAGAGAGGAGUUCUUUUGAUCAGACUGCAUUUACAAUAGUGACAGCACUUCAGAAAAUAAAAUGGGUAGCUCAAAGACCUGUACUGAUCCUGGAGAAAGUCUGUGAUAAACUGGAGAUGAAAAAAAAAAAAAAAAAGAUUCAGCAAGGCAAGUCAAACUGUAUUUUUAGGUGGUAACCCGCUUCAGAAUAUGAGGAUAUAGAACCCUUUGAUCAGAAGUGCUUUUAGUGGGAAAUCUUUUCUUCUGCCACUGUUCCCUUAAAGGUAAAAGAUAACAUUCUCAGUAGAAGCAUUUAAAAAGGCAGGCUUCAAAAUACUGCAUAUGAGUCAUAUAUAAUUCUUCCACAGUUACUGAAUAGUAACUUCUGGAUAUUGGAUCAAAAAUAGUCAUCUUGGAAGAUGUGCUGUGGUGUUAGCCAGGUAUUCCGUUUUAUUUUCUGCUUAGUGCCCUUUGGAGCAUAUACUGACUCAGUUACCUAGGGUAGUGUGGAGAAAACUGAAAAACAAUUGUUCAUGAAUUAAGAGAGAAAGCCUUCAGCUAUUUGGCAGUGGCCUGUCAUACAUCUAAAGUUGCCGUUUUCACUUAUUUCUUCAAGCUUUUAUUUGACAUCUAUUAGUAAUUUUUAGCCCCUUACAUCUAUUCUCCAUUUUAUUGACAAGUUCCUCAUUUUUAUGAAUGUAAAAUCACUUGUUUUUUGAUUUGUACUUCAAAACUAAAUACAUUUAUCCUGAAGCCCUCAGCAAUGGUGUUUCCUGUGGAAAAAUAGUACUUCUUUCUUUCUGGAUUAAACCACGAUAGCAAGCAUCUGUCGAGUCUCAUCACUGAAUCUCCAUUGUUUUGUCACGGGGAGAGUUUAAAACAAGUAAAUGCUUUGCAAAUUUGGACUUUAUCAUGCCUUCCCUAACUUGGAGAAUUGGGAUUAUUCAGAUAUGAUCUGAUUAUUCAGAUAGUAACUUGCUCUCUUCUUCACAUUACAGAUCCCAAUUGGUGAAGCCAGCUUAAAAAGUAAAAGGAAUAUGGUUGCACUUUUCUUGUUGACUUGUCAUAGGUUUGCAAGAAUCACUAAAAUUUGUUUCUUAGAACUGGUGAUUUCACUGCUGCUAGCAACAUUUCAACUUACUUUUUUGGAGGAAGCUGCCCGCAAAAGCUGCUGUAGUAAAUCUUCUAACAUCAUCACCUUGUGAACCUGGCUUUUUCCUUCUCUGGAACUAGCUUAGGUGGGAAGACAACAGCAGCUGACACCUUGUACCAAACGGUGCCACCAGCAGCUCAGUAGGUGGCACGCUGCUGGCAGGGACAGCUCACCUUGAGGCAGGUACAGAUGCUUUAUGAUUCUAGGUUGAUGCAAGAGCUGUGUGGAAAGCCAGUGUGUUUACAAGUUUUGUGCAGCUGCUUGAUGGGUGUUACUGUAAGGUGAGAAAUCUGUAUUCUGAAAUGCAGGUAUAACAAUACAUUAUAAGAAAAUUGCUCUGUCCAGGGAAGAUUAAUAGUUGAACUGCUUCUUUUUAUGUGGUCUUGCACAAAUUGUCAACACUGACAUUGGGGAGCAGCACAGAUUUCUGCCACCCCCCCCCCCCCUUAACAAUUCUUAACAAUCUUGCAAUGUUGUCACCUAUGGAUGAAACCUUGGAAUGCCACUUUAGCAAUAAAAAUAGCAGUACCAAGUC